GGCUAUAGCUCAGGGGCAGAGUGCUUGCCUAGCACGCAUGAGGCACUGGGUUCAAUCCUCAGCACCA
rnacentral:tRNA from 1 species